rnacentral:lncRNA from 1 species
AUCCAUAUUGUAUUUCAACUUUUUAAAUCUAUCACAUGGAUUAUUCUGACGAAAAUUUUACUAAAUUGAAAUACACUGAUGCACAUCUCCUACUUAUUCAGAGGGAUCAAUUCUAUCUUGAUUUACAAACUGACUUGAUAAGUACUUAACUACAUCUCGAAACCUUUUAUCACUGAAUUAAAAAUUCAGAUGGUCCGAUACUAAAGUACAGUGAGUUGCUUAUAAAUCAUCCUGAUGAUCUCAGAUCGGAGGGAUACUUAUAUCCAUACCCUUCAUGAGCCACUCU